CCGCUGAGUGCCCAAAACACCAUCAUCAACAGUUUGUCACGAGGAACAUGGGGGGUGCUGCCACCGUGUGGGACGUCACUAUUUUUUUUUUUUUUCAUUUAGAAUUCAAUUUACAAAUAUUCAGGUCGUAUGAGACACCACUAAUGCCAGGGGGACUGUAAGUUGCUGCGUGUCACCUUCAGCUCGCAGAUCUCAGCGGAAGAUAGAUGACAGACCACCUGGUGGUGAUGACUGAUGGGUGCAUUGAAGGUCACGCAGGUCUGCUGUUGUCAAAGGAUUUAAAGUAACUGAUCUGGUGCAGAACAAACGGGAGCCUACAACUUUAGAGAGCAGCAGUCACCUCUCCUCAUCCGACUACUGUCCCUUCUCCUCAGCCCACCUGAUGCUCUCCGCGGCUGAUGUGAGACAAGAACUCGUAGCGGUCCUGGCUGCGGUGGCCACAGAUGUUGCACUCGAAGGGUUGGAGGAAGCCGUGGCAACCCAUGUGGAUGGUGAACAUGACAUGGUCCAGGAAGAGGAUGCGACAGUGCCGGCAGUGGAAGGAGCGCACAGGCCGACCAUCCCUGUCUAACACCUGCACAGUCUCCCUGGAAGAAAGGGGUAAGACAGGGCUCUUCUUUGCUAUUGUGGGGGGCGCAGGACAUGCUCUCUCCCACUCUGGGUCCAAGUCUUUGACCUGCCUGAGGCUGGAAGUGGGAUGGCUGCAGGGCAGUGCUGGGGUUUGGUAGUGGAGGUGGUGGUUGUUAGAGGUACUUGUUGGGGCUGUAGCCCGUGUGCUCUGCUCUUCUGCUGUGCUCUCUGUGUCUGUAGAGUCAGGGCAGCCGUUGGGUGAGGUGGUGUGGCUAUGGGCUGAGCGUUGGUCAUCCCGGCCUUCACCUGCCUCCCGCCCAGCCAGGCCAAGAGUCACUGCUGCCAUCCCACCUCCACAAUGUGCUCGGGGGCCCUGAGGAAUCACAUUGCUGUUGAUGGAGCCUAUAACUGUGCGUAGCUCUGACAGGAAGGCAGGAUGGAGCUGAGACAGAGCGGGCGGCUCAUGGUUCUCCCCUCUACCCCUGCUGCCUCGGAGAUGUGGACCAGCCAACCCAGCAGAGUCCCCAGCGGGCUGAGAGUUCAUAAGGUCCCCCUCCUUCUCAGAGCCAGAAGACAAUUCGUAAGGUGCUUCAGUACAUUCUACUGAAGAAGACUAUUUCCUCUGAGCUUCAGAGAAGGGGGCCGUUCUAAUGAAUAUCCGCUUCUAUCGCUUACUGUACCCUUGUUUCAUACAUUAUAUGUUACGGAACAACUGCAUCCAUCAAGUUCAAGAACUUCUUAGAUGUCCAGCCAGGGCAUCUCUCCGGCGACAAGCAUAGCUGCAAACGGGACAUUUAAAAGGCUUCUCUCCCGAAUGCAACUUGAUGUGGCGCAACAAGUUCCCCUUCUGGGUGAAGGAAGCUCCACACUGGUUACACUGGAACGGCCUCUCGCCUGGGAACACAUGGAUGGACAGAGGAUUUUAGAGCACGUUGGGUCCGAUGCAGAUCAUCCCGCACACCUCACACUGAAGUUUCCCAUUGGGCAGCCGGAUAGGUCCUGGUGAAGUAGCAUUUGGACUGGCCAUCUCAUUGUAAAUGCUCCCUCUGUCUCUUCCAGCCCCAGUGUACUCUGCACUCCCUUCUUCCAUGGGGUCCCCUCUGUCAUCCCUCCUGCUAUCGUCCCUCACAGCCUCUCUGAUCUCUGGCCGUGGAGCACCUGGGGACUCCUCAUCGCUGCACAGCUCAACCUUGAUGGAGUUUGCUGUGUAGACAGAGGUCGAGGGAAAAACACAUUUACUUUCAUACAUAAUGUUAAUGAAAACUUCUAUACAGACCAUGUGGCCACAAUGAAACAAAGGAAUAAUAACUGACCACUAUGGGAGCGGUGUGGUGAGGACUGCUGACUGUUUGGAGAUCUCGCUGAAGGGCCCUGCAACCCGCCAUAAAAAUCCUGUUCCAUUGAUGACUCUCCUCCAUUACCUGAAACACAAAUAUGCCCAUGUUAUUAAAGUCUGGAGACUGUACAUACAAAUGUAUAGUAGUUCCUCCUUUACGUAUAAACUUACCUUGUGCAUUUGAGCGUCCAUUGCAAUCCUCAGCAUUCAUUCUCUCACCAGAUGCCUGCAAGAAUAUGAUUUAAAAACAAUGUUACUUUUUCCCCAUUUGUAAUGAUCAAUUUUUUAUUCAAUUUUUCAUGUUAAACACAUAAUGAUCAUUUUUGAGAAGAUCUCACUUUCCUAAUCUUAGUCACA